AUGAACGCUGGCGGCGUGCCUCAUACGUGCAAGUCGAGCGCACAGACGAGGAGCUUGCUCCUUUGACGUUAGCGGCGGACGGGUGAGUAACACGUAGGUAACCUACCUAUAAGACUGGGAUAACUUCGGGAAACCGGAGCUAAUACCGGAUAAUAUUUCGAACCGCAUGGUUCGAUAGUGAAAGAUGGCUUUGCUAUCACUUAUAGAUGGACCUGCGCCGUAUUAGCUAGUUGGUAAGGUAACGGCUUACCAAGGCAACGAUACGUAGCCGACCUGAGAGGGUGAUCGGCCACACUGGAACUGAGACACGGUCCAGACUCCUACGGGAGGCAGCAGUAGGGAAUCUUCCGCAAUGGGCGAAAGCCUGACGGAGCAACGCCGCGUGAGUGAUGAAGGUCUUCGGAUCGUAAAACUCUGUUAUUAGGGAAGAACAAACGUGUAAGUAACUGUGCACGUCUUGACGGUACCUAAUCAGAAAGCCACGGCUAACUACGUG
rnacentral:rRNA from 1 species